CCAAGUAGGUGAGCUGCCGCUCCGUUAGAAUAUUCUAGCGGAGAGGAAGGUCCGGACACCUUCCCAGCCCUUGCAUGCAAGAGCUGGGGAACGCUCCAGGUAACACCUGGCCGCCGUGAGGCGAGGGGUGCGAACAGAGACGCCGAGGCCCGUAAGGGCCGAGGCGCCCCUCCAGUGCAUGCACUGGAGGGGUGAGUUCAGCUAUAAGGCGUUGUCCUCCUUCGCUCUUUAAAGGAGCUUUGGAGGAUCAGCCAAAGGCUGAAGUGAAACGGCUAAAUCCCAGCGGGGUGCAAGGCAGGCCAAAGAGAUUGAGAAAAAUUGCCUCAAUCUCGGGCCAAGCCGCUUGAGCCUCAGGGUGACCUGAGGCCCAGACAAAUGGCAGCUAAAACAGAAUCCGGCCUACGGCCUACUUGGGCUU
rnacentral:RNase_P_RNA from 1 species